rnacentral:lncRNA from 1 species
CAUGUCACCAUCUUCACUUAUUGUUCUUGGAUCUUUGUUGGUUUUGGACAGGGGAAUGCUAGUGCUGCUGGGAAGAAGAGAGCUUGGUCUGGCUAUUUUGGGUAGAGCUGAGACGAGUGAAACUUGGCAGUUGCUUACUCUGCUCUCCUUGCCAUCUAAUAUCUGAUAUCCACCUCCCUUGGCUGGUAUGGCUGCCCAUCACCUUCUCUAUUGUUCUCACAGGUGCUAGCUUAUAAUUGGCUGAAGGUUGAAGCCCAUACAUAGACUAUACUGUUGACCAAUUGACUAUUAAUAUGGUGCACGUGAGGGUGGUGGUCCAUGUGUCUUGCUGUUCUGGUUGACCCAGAGAUAUUUUUGUGUUGGUCCAACUGUAUAGCUUAGCAUAGCAUGGUCUCCCUAUAUUUUUUCCAAAGAUUUGUAAUACACUUUUGCAGCUAUACUGUCUGAGGUGUAUGAAUAUAAAUAUAUAUGCUUGAGUGGUUAUGAUGCUUGUUGAAGAAAUCUGAUAUGUAUUUGCUUAAUGGAUUCUACUUAAUUAUCUAGUUAAGGGUGGAAUUACUAUGUGAAAAAAAAAUAUGGGUCGUUACAUCCUACCCUCCUUAGAAAAAGAUUUCGUCCUCGAAAUCGAAAACUUAUAUAAAAAGGUUGGGGUAGGUUACUCGUAGGUCUUCCUCCUUCUCCCACGUCGCCUCACGAACUGAGUGGUUCUUCCAUUGCACUUUGCAGAACCGAAUGGUCCUUGUCCUGAGCUUGCGGUCUUCAACUUAUAAGAUCUUCAAUGGUCGUUCUUCAUACGUCAGGUCUGGUUGUAAUUCAAUCUCCAAGUCUGAUACUUGUGGUGGUGGCUUGUUGCAUUUCUUAAGUUGAGAUAUGUGGAAGACAUUGUGAAUUCUUGACAAACGUUCUGGUAACUCCAACUUAUAAGCAGAUGUUCCCUUCUCCUCCAAAAUUUUAAAUGGCCCAACAUAUCUAGGACUCAACUUUCCUUUGAUUCCAAAGCGUCGAACCCCUCUCAUAGGUGAUACUUUUAGAUAAACCAAGUCUCCUACUGCCAAUUGCAUAACCCUCCUAUUCCGGUCAGCAUAGCUCUUCUGCCUAUUUUGUGCAAUCUGGAGUUGUUCUUUGAUUAGUUGGAUCUUCUCAUCAUUCUCUCUCACUAUGUUAGGACCAAGUAAUGGUCUCUCUCCAACUUCAUACCAGCAUGUAGGUGAUCUGCAUUUCCUCCCAUACAAUGCCUCAUAUGGAGCCAUUUGUAUGCUGGAUUGAUAACUAUUAUUGUAAGCAAAUUAUGCUAGGUGUAGAUGCUUAUCCCAUGAUUCUCCAAAGUUCAUUACACAUGCCCUCAACAUAUCCUCAAGGAUCUGAUUUACCCGCUCUGUAUGGCCAUCGGUUUGGGGAUGAUAAGCUGUGCUAAAGUGUAGCUCAGUUCCAAGAGACUUCUGUAGGCUCUUCCAAAAGCUUGAUGUAAACACGGAACCUCGGUCAGAUGUUAUGGUCUUUGGUACACCAUGGAGGGCAACUAUCCUCUCUAAGUACAGUUCAGCCAACUUAUCAAAGGAAUAUUUUUGGUUUGUAGCAAUGAAGAGUGCUGACUUAGUGAGUCGAUCGGCCACAACCCAUAUGGCAUCCUUAUUCUUUGGUGUCAUAGGCAAACCAGUAAUAAAAUAUAUAGAAAGAUCUUCCCAUUUCCAAUCUGGUGUCUCUAAUGGCUUUAGUAACCCAGCAGGCCUUUGAUGUUCCGCUUUUACCCUCUGACAAGUGUCGCACUUGCUGACAUAUUCUGCAAUUUCCCUCUUCUUACCAGGCCACCAAAAAUUUCUCUUCACAUCCUUAUACAUCUUCGUGCUACCAGGAUGGAUAGUGUACAAAGUGUCAUGAGCUUCAUGCAAAAUAAUUUCCUUGAUCUAUAGGUCAUCUGGCACACAGAUCCUACUAUGGUUCCAAAGAACUCCUUCCUGGUCCAACCUGAAUUGUGAAGGUUGUCCCACUUGAAUUCUUCUCAUUUCCUCCUUGAUGAAUGCAUCCAUUCCUUGCUUUUCCUUACUCUGAUCUAGCAAUGUGGGGUGAAAUGUCAUGGCUGCUAUAUUAGCAUUAGAUGUGGCUCCUCUCAGCUCUAUUCCCAUCUUUGCAAGAUCCUGCCGUAGCUCUUUUCCAUACCAUUCAAUUGAUAUGUGGUAGCAUUGCUUCUUUCUACUAAGUGCAUCUGCCACUACAUUUGCCUUACCAGGAUGGUAGUUAAUUGUCAUAUCAUAAUCUUUGAUUAGUUCCAGCCACCUCCUCUGCCUCAUGUUUAACUCCUUUUGUGUAAAUAUAUAUUUGAGGCUCUUGUGGUCACUGUACAAUGUGCAUUUAGAACCAUAUAAGUAGUGCCUCCAUGUUUUCAGUGCACACAGAACAGCUCCCAACUCCAAGUCAUGGGUAGGGUAAUUUACUUCAUGUGUCUUUAAUUGCCUAGAAGCAUAGGCUAUCACUCUAUCAUUUUGCAUCAGAACACAUCCUAGUCCAGAUUUUGAAGCAUCACAAUACACCACAUAAUCUUGUCCACUUUCACGUAAUUCCAACACUGGUGCGGUAGUUAACCUUUUCUUUAGUUCCUCAAAACUUCUCUCACACCCUUCAGUCCAAAUAAAUUUAGUUUCUUUCCUAAGCAAUUUGGUGAUUGGUGUUGUAAUCUAUGAAAACCCUUUUAUAAAUCUGCGGUAGUACCCAACAAAGCCCAAGAAACUCCUUAUCUCACUUGGAUUGGUCGGACGAGCCCAAGACACAACUGUUUCAAUCUUGGAUGGGUCAACCUCAACUCCUCUUCCUGAAAUCAUGUGCCCCAAGAAAGCUACUUGGUCCAGCCAAAACUCACACUUACUAAAUUUUGCAUACAACUGAUUCUCUCUUUAGAUUUCAAGUGCUAUCCUCAAGUGUUCUGCAUGCUCUUCCUUGCUUCUUGAAUAUAUUAAUAUGUCAUCAAUAAAGACCACUACAAACUUGUCUAGAUAUUGCAUGAAAAUUUUGUUCAUCAAGUUCAUGAACAUAGCUGGCGAAUUAGUUAGACCGAAUGGAACCACAGUGUACUCAUGGUGUCCAUACCGAGAUACAAAUGUCGUCUUCUCAAUGUCCUCUUCCUUCACUUUCAUUUGGUGAUAUCCAGAUCUCAAGUCAAUUUUCGAGAAGACACAUGCACCCUUGAGUUGAUCAAAUAAAUCAUUUAUUCUAGGUAAUGGAUACUUAUUCUUUACAGUUACCUUGUUAAGGUCUCGAAAAUCUAUGCAUAGCCUCAACCCUCCAUCCUUUUUCUCUGCAAAUAAUACCGGUGCUCCCCAUGGUGAGAUGUUUUCCCUAAUGAAUCAUUUUUCCUUCUGCUCAUCCAAUUGUUUCUUUAUCUCCACUAACUCUGGUUGUGACAUUUUGUAGGGUCUUUUGGAGAUAGGUGAUGCCCCAGGCAUUAAAACUAUGCUGAACUCUAACUCCCUAUCAGGCG